rnacentral:piRNA from 1 species
UGACCUUUGAUUGUUUUACAACCUCUUGGA